CUUCAACGACCCCAGCCACAAAGGCUGUUCGGCCGGACGAUCCUGCCCGUAGGUGGCCAGCACCGCCUGCGCCUC
rnacentral:antisense_RNA from 1 species